AUGCAAGUAGAACGCUGAAGAGAGGAGCUUGCUCUUCUUGGAUGAGUUGCGAACGGGUGAGUAACGCGUAGGUAACCUGCCUUGUAGCGGGGGAUAACUAUUGGAAACGAUAGCUAAUACCGCAUAACAAUGGAUGACACAUGUCAUUUAUUUGAAAGGGGCAAUUGCUCCACUACAAGAUGGACCUGCGUUGUAUUAGCUAGUAGGUGAGGUAAUGGCUCACCUAGGCGACGAUACAUAGCCGACCUGAGAGGGUGAUCGGCCACACUGGGACUGAGACACGGCCCAGACUCCUACGGGAGGCAGCAGUAGGGAAUCUUCGGCAAUGGGGGCAACCCUGACCGAGCAACGCCGCGUGAGUGAAGAAGGUUUUCGGAUCGUAAAGCUCUGUUGUAAGUCAAGAACGGGUGUGAGAGUGGAAAGUUCACACUGUGACGGUAGCUUACCAGAAAGGGACGGCUAACUACGUGCCAGCAGCCGCGGUAAUACGUAGGUCCCGAGCGUUGUCCGGAUUUAUUGGGCGUAAAGCGAGCGCAGGCGGUUUGAUAAGUCUGAAGUUAAAGGCUGUGGCUCAACCAUAGUUCGCUUUGGAAACUGUCAAACUUGAGUGCAGAAGGGGAGAGUGGAAUUCCAUGUGUAGCGGUGAAAUGCGUAGAUAUAUGGAGGAACACCGGUGGCGAAAGCGGCUCUCUGGUCUGUAACUGACGCUGAGGCUCGAAAGCGUGGGGAGCGAACAGGAUUAGAUACCCUGGUAGUCCACGCCGUAAACGAUGAGUGCUAGGUGUUGGAUCCUUUCCGGGAUUCAGUGCCGCAGCUAACGCAUUAAGCACUCCGCCUGGGGAGUACGACCGCAAGGUUGAAACUCAAAGGAAUUGACGGGGGCCCGCACAAGCGGUGGAGCAUGUGGUUUAAUUCGAAGCAACGCGAAGAACCUUACCAGGUCUUGACAUCCCGAUGCUAUUUCUAGAGAUAGAAAGUUACUUCGGUACAUCGGUGACAGGUGGUGCAUGGUUGUCGUCAGCUCGUGUCGUGAGAUGUUGGGUUAAGUCCCGCAACGAGCGCAACCCCUAUUGUUAGUUGCCAUCAUUCAGUUGGGCACUCUAGCGAGACUGCCGGUAAUAAACCGGAGGAAGGUGGGGAUGACGUCAAAUCAUCAUGCCCCUUAUGACCUGGGCUACACACGUGCUACAAUGGUUGGUACAACGAGUUGCGAGUCGGUGACGGCGAGCUAAUCUCUUAAAGCCAAUCUCAGUUCGGAUUGUAGGCUGCAACUCGCCUACAUGAAGUCGGAAUCGCUAGUAAUCGCGGAUCAGCACGCCGCGGUGAAUACGUUCCCGGGCCUUGUACACACCGCCCGUCACACCACGAGAGUUUGUAACACCCGAAGUCGGUGAGGUAACCUUUGGAGCCAG
rnacentral:rRNA from 1 species